rnacentral:rRNA from 1 species
AUACGUAAGGCGCGAGCGUUGUCCGGAAUUACUGGGCGUAAAGGGCGCGUAGGCGGCGCUUCAAGUCGUCUGUCAAAUGGGAGGGCUUAACCCUUUUUCGCAGACGAAACUGGAGAGCUUGAGAAGCAGAGAGGCAAACAGAAUUCCUGGUGUAGCGGUGAAAUGCGUAGAUAUCAGGAAGAAUACCAGUGGCGAAGGCGGUUUGCUGGCUGCAUACUGACGCUGAAGCGCGAAAGCCAGGGGAGCAAACGGGAUUAGAUACCCCGGUAGUCCUGGCAGUAAACGAUGUAUGCUGGGUGUGAGACUAGCGAUAGUUUCGUGCCGAAGUUAACGCGAUAAGCAUACCGCCUGGGGAGUACGGUCGCAAGAUUGAAACUUAAAGGAAUUGACGGGG